rnacentral:rRNA from 1 species
AACGAACGCUGGCGGCAUGCCUAACACAUGCAAGUCGAACGAGACCUUCGGGUCUAGUGGCGCACGUGUGCGUAACGCGUGGGAACCUGCCCUUAGGUUCGGAAUAACUCCCCGAAAGGGGUUCUAAUACCGGAUAAUGUCUUCGGACUAAAGAUUUAUCGCCUUUGGAUGGGCCCGCGUUGGAUUAGCUAGUUGGUAGGGUAAAAGCCUACCAAGGCGACGAUCCAUAGCUGGUCUGAGAGGAUGAUCAGCCACACUGGGACUGAGACACGGCCCAGACUCCUACGGGAGGCAGCAGUGGGGAAUAUUGGACAAUGGGCGAAAGCCUGAUCCAGCAAUGCCGCGUGAGUGAUGAAGGCCUUAGGGUUGUAAAGCUCUUUUACCCGGGAUGAUAAUGACAGUACCGGGAGAAUAAGCGCCGGCUAACUCCGUG